rnacentral:pre_miRNA from 1 species
GAUCUACUCCCUCCGUUCGGAAUUACUUGUCGCAGAAAUAGAUGUAUCUAGACGUAUUUUAGUUCUAGAUACAUCCAUUUCCAAAACAAGUAAUUCCGAACGGAGGGAGUACGUC